rnacentral:rRNA from 1 species
AGCGAACGCUGGCGGCAGGCCUAAAACAUGCAAGUCGAACGCCCGUAGCAAUACGGGAGUGGCAGACGGGUGAGUAACACGUGGGAACGUGCCCUUUGGUUCGGAACAACACAGGGAAACUUGUGCUAAUACCGGAUAAGCCCUUACGGGGGAAAGAUUUAUCGCCAGAGGAUCGGCCCGCGUCUGAUUAGCUAGUUGGUGAGGUAACGGCUCACCAAGGCUACGAUCAGUAGCUGGCUGAGAGGAUGAUCAGCCACACUGGGACUGAGACACGGCCCAGACUCCUACGGGAGGCAGCAGUCAGGAAUCUUGGACAAUGGGCGCAAGCCUGAUCCAGCCAUG